GAUGAACGCUGGCGGCGUGCCUAAUACAUGCAAGUCGAGCGAACUGAUUAGAAGCUUGCUUCUAUGACGUUAGCGGCGGACGGGUGAGUAACACGUGGGCAACCUGCCUGUAAGACUGGGAUAACUUCGGGAAACCGAAGCUAAUACCGGAUAGGAUCUUCUCCCUCAUGGGAGAUGAUUGAAAGAUGGUUUCGGCUAUCACUUACAGAUGGGCCCGCGGUGCAUUAGCUAGUUGGUGAGGUAACGGCUCACCAAGGCAACGAUGCAUAGCCGACCUGAGAGGGUGAUCGGGCACACUGGGACUGAGACACGGCCCAGACUCCUACGGGAGGCAGCAGUAGGGAAGCUUCCGCAAUGGACGAAAGUCUGACGGAGCAACGCCGCGUGAGUGAUGAAGGCUUUCGGGUCGUAAAACUCUGUUGUUAGGGAAGAACAAGUACGAGAGUAACUGCUCGUACCUUGACGGUACCUAACCAGAAAGCCACGGCUAACUACGUGCCAGCAGCCGCCGCAGUAA
rnacentral:rRNA from 1 species